UGGGGAAUUUUGGACAAUGGGCGAAAGCCUGAUCCAGCAAUGCCGCGUGUGUGAAGAAGGCCUUCGGGUUGUAAAGCACUUUUGUCCGGAAAGAAAUCCUUGGCUCUAAUACAGUCGGGGGAUGACGGUACCGGAAGAAUAAGCACCGGCUAACUACGUGCCAGCAGCCGCGGUAAUACGUAGGGUGCAAGCGUUAAUCGGAAUUACUGGGCGUAAAGCGUGCGCAGGCGGUUUGCUAAGACCGAUGUGAAAUCCCCGGGCUCAACCUGGGAACUGCAUUGGUGACUGGCAGGCUAGAGUAUGGCAGAGGGGGGUAGAAUUCCACGUGUAGCAGUGAAAUGCGUAGAGAUGUGGAGGAAUACCGAUGGCGAAGGCAGCCCCCUGGGCCAAUACUGACGCUCAUGCACGAAAGCGUGGGGAGCAAACAGGAUUAGAUACCCUGGUAGUCCACGCCCUAAACGAUGUCAACUGUUGUUGGGGAUUCAUUUCCUAGUAACGUAGCUAACGCGUGAAGUUGACCGCCUGGGGAGUACGGUCGCAAGAUUAAAACUCAAAUGAAUUGACGGGGUCAUAGCUGUUUCCU
rnacentral:rRNA from 1 species